GAUGAAGAACGUAGCGAAAUGCGAUACGUAAUGUGAAUUGCAGAAUUCAGUGAAUCAUCGAAUCUUUGAACGCAUAUUGCGCUCUUUGGUAUUCCGAAGAGCAUGCUUGUUUGAGUAUCAGUAAACACCUCAAAGCUUUUGGAUUUUUUAAUCGAAAAUCUUUGGACUUGAGCAAUCCCAACACCAAUCUUUUUGAGAUCGGUGGCGGGUUGCUUGAAAUGCAGGUGCAGCUGGACAUUCUCCUGAGCUAAAAGCAUAUUCAUUUAGUCCCGUCAAACGGAUUAUUACUUUUGCUGCAGCUAACAUAAAGGGAGUUUGACCGUAUUGGCUGACUGAUGCAGGAUUUCACAAGGGUCGGCAACGAUUCUUGUUAAACUCGAUCUCAAAUCAAGUAAGACUACCCGCUGAACUUAAGCAUAUCAAUAAGCGGAGGA
rnacentral:misc_RNA from 1 species